rnacentral:rRNA from 1 species
GACGAACGCUGGCGGCGUGCUUAACACAUGCAAGUCGAACGAAAAUACCAAGCUUGCUUGGUUGAUUAGUGGCGAACGGGUGAGUAACACGUGAGUAACCUGCCCCUUACUUUCCUGGAUAACUGCUCGAAAGGGUAGCUAAUACGGGAUAUUCUGACCAGCCUGCAUGGGUUGGUUUGGAAAGGUUGUUUUUCUGGUAAGGGAUGGGCUCGCGGCCUAUCAGCUUGUUGGUGGGGUGAUGGCCUACCAAGGCUUUGACGGGUAGCCGGCCUGAGAGGGUGGACGGUCACACUGGGACUGAGAUACGGCCCAGACUCCUACGGGAGGCAGCAGUGGGGAAUAGUGCACAAGGGGCGCAAGCCUGAUGCAGCGACGCCGCGUGAGGGAUGAAGGCCUUCGGGGUGUAAACCUCUUUCGUCAGGGAACAAGGCACUGCUUUUUUGGUGGUGUUGAGGGUACCUGGAUAAGAAGCGCCGGCUAACUACGUG